GGGCCAAUCAGAACCUGCCGGGGGGUCUCUAUGCUGACCGGAAGUGGGUCUGUUACCCGGGGGCCAUCUUGCCGCUCGAGGUGCCGAGCCUUAGAGACGCGGGUCCCCGGGGGUCGAGGAAGGGGAGGCAGCUGUCGGUCACCGAGCUCCCGGGCGCAGGCCAGCCCGAGACCAGGCCCUAGAACCUUCCAGAUGCCGGUGUAUGUAUCGGGCCGCGGAGGUUGGGUCUCCCGCGGCUGGGCAUCAUCGCGCAUGCGCGGCCGGGCCAUGGCUGCCGCUCCGCAGAGCCGCGGAAACAUCUUCCAGUCCUGUGGGCAGCACGUGAGGCUGAGCUCUCCGCGGCCCGUGCUCGUCGUCAUCUGUCCGUCUGAGGCCGUUUUCCUCGGUGUUCUGCAGUGGAGGCUUCCCUCUGCCCGGCCUCCCGAGUCGCAGCCUCACCCCAGCAGACCUCCCAGACCCAGACGGCGAAGGAUGCAAAUGGCACAUAGGACCGGACGGCACUGUUUUCUUAUUUGGGGGUGCCAGCUCCUGCACUUUCCUACCGGGUUUCCUAGCACCCUGAGGAUCCCCAGGAAGCAGCCAGGCCAGAGCUGCCUCCAGCAGGAGCUGCUGAUGCUGUGGGAAACUGGGCUUCUCUGGAAGCAGCCAGGCCGGGGUGCAGUCCCACCCCCAGCCCAGGAGGCUGGCUGGAGGAGGCUGGCCCAGCGCGGCCCUUGUGGCCUCAGCCAGCCUGUCUACACUGCGGUCCCUCCUCCAGGACCAGAGCCCCUGUCGGAGGUAGGGGGCCUUCCUGGCUCUGCAGGCUGUGGAGUUGGCUCCAUGUGA
rnacentral:lncRNA from 1 species